rnacentral:rRNA from 1 species
GAUGAACGCUAGCUACAGGCUUAACACAUGCAAGUCGCGGGACCGGCGCACGGGUGAGUAACGCGUAUCCAACCUGCCCUUCACCACGGGGUAACCCGGCGAAAGUCGGACUAAUGCCGUAUGGUGAAGGAUGGGGAUGCUUCCGAUUGGCUUGACGGCGGGGGAACGGCCCACCGUGGAUACGGUCGGGAGGGGUUCUGAGAGGAAGGUCCCCUACACUGGAACUGCGACACGGUCCAGACUCCUACGGGAGGCAGCAGUGAGGAAUAUUGGUCAAUGGGCGUAAGCCUGAACCAGCCAAGUAGCGUGCAGGACGACGGCCUAUGGGUUGUAAACUGCUUUUAUGCGGGGAUAGGUACCGCAUGAAUAAGGACCGGCUAAUUCCGUGCCAGCAGCCGCGGUAAUAC